UCGUUCGUCUGCGUGCCCGUCGCUGAGUGCAGGUCCCCUCAUUUAUAUGUGUGUGUGUGUGUGUGUGUCGCUCGCACAGGAAGCCCAUUGCAUUGAAGCGGAGGUCUCGAGUGACUCCCCCUCAUUCAUUUACACAGCGGCCGCCAUGCUUCACGUCGCGCGCCUCGUCCUCGCUUCUCUUCUCCUCGGCAGAACGUUGGCGUUGUCCAUGAUCCAAGAUAAAGCGUCCCUCACCAAGAGCUUCGGGAAAACCGCCAGGAUAAGCUGCCGACCGAGCGGCUCGACGGGCUACAUUCACUGGUAUCGCCAAAAAGACAGCGAGGACCUACGGAGAGCCUUUUAUGUGGACACGGACAACGGACAAGUGGCUUAUGACGAAGGGACGGACAGAAACAAAUUCAAAGCUGAUGACAGCGGCAAAGUCCUGGUGAUAGAUAAAGUAGAAGAAAGGGACGUCGCCGUGUAUUACUGCGCCGCAUGGGACUUCCACAAUGACUGCCACCUCGGGGCCCUCCGCACAAAAACGACGAGAAGAUAG